UUACACCCUCGCCGGGCAGGGAAUGAGACCCUCACUGAUGUCCGGACCCUGGGCAGUGGAAGGUGACGAGGACUCCAAAGGUUGGGCUGAAAGAUGCAAGACUGGGAUGCCCCCGCCCCGCCUACAGCUGAGAAUAAAGAAGAAACUGAGGCAGAGAGCAGCUAAGUCACUUAUCAAGGCCACAGCUGGUAAGUUGGCAAGAGACAGGACUGGAAUGCCAGGUCUGUUUAGCACCAGUCCUCUUUCCUUUCAGAUUCUUUGGAAUUUAAAACUUCUCCUACAUCCAUACCUAGUUUUUUCUUUGUAUCAUUCUCUCCCACCCACCUCCAUUUAGACUGAGACUAAAGGGCUUCACAUACAGCAGGAAAUAAAAGCAGAUCCAGGAUAAAUUUUCCUGUUGGGGUAAAGCCACAUGAUCAAUAAAAAAUGCUAGUUCGGUAUUUUUUUAAAAUCCUUUUUCCAUUGAUCUUUAGAGAGAGUGGAAGUGUGGGAAGGAAGAAGAGAGAGAAACAUUGGGGAUCAAACUUACAACCCAGGUAUGUGCCCUUGACUGGGAAUUGAACCCUUGACCCUUUGGUCUGUGGGCCUAUACUCUAACCACUGAACCAAACCGACAAGGGCAGUGAUUUUUUUUUUUUAAUCUUUUUUUAAGUCAUGGUCCCCUUUGAGAUACUAAUAAGGCAAAGGACCCUCUCCCUACAGAAAUACAUACAUUUUUGCAUAAUACUUCACAGGAGUCACAAAUUCCACCUCCCCAAUCUCAUCAACUAUCUGCCCAAAGGUAAUAGACACCCCUCCACCCCCAAUAUAUAUGUUCUGUUAAGAGGACCUAAAAAAAAAAUAGCUGUGGUCAGACUUGAUAAGCUCGCUAGUGGCCUGGGAAUAGUAGAGAUUAAACAGCAAUAAAGCCGGGGGCCAGUUGGUUGAGUUUCCUGCACACCAAAAGGUGGCGGGCUCAAAUCCUGGUCAGGGCACAUACCCAGGUUGCAGGUUCUAUCCCUGGUUGGGGCCUUUAUGGGAGGCAGCCAAUCAAUGUUUUUCUCUCACAUCGAUGUUUCUCUCCCCCCACCUCUCCCUCUCUCUAAAAAUCAAUUAAAUUUUUUUUUAAAAAUUCCAAAAUACCCCCCAAAACAAACAAACAAACAAACAAACAAAAAAGAGCAAUAAAGAUGCUAUUUUCCAAGUUAAGUUAUCUCACUAUUCAAGAACAGAUUAGAGGGAAUAAGGAGGCACCAACAUGCAGGGGAGGGUGUGUUUCUGAUGCAAUAAAACUACUGGGUGCCCUUUCUUCCAAAUUUCUCAUGUCAGACAAAGUUAAAAAAAAAAAAAGAA